CCAGUCAAUCAAGCAGUCUAGGCAAGAACAGUUUCUUGCCCGAAUGGCUAUCUUUGCCAAGGUACCCAUGAUGAUCAGUGUAACCCGUCAAUCUGGUUGGAUCUGAGUCCCUGCGGAGGUGGCUCCUGUGCCUUCCUGGGCAAUUUUCUUGAUGACAUCACUGAGGAAGACUGGACAGCCCUCGCCUUGGGCAGGGACCCUGUGUAAAAUCGAGGAAGCGAGAUGACUAGCGUGCAGGCGUUGCCAUUUCCGGGUCAUGGACGUGCUGUGACCUACUGCUUCAAGCUCCUAAUAACUUGAUUUCCCCGGGGCCUGGGCUGUGAGCUGUGAAUUAAAAUGAAUUGUCUCCUUUAAA